GCCUGGGUGGCUCAGUUAGUUAAGUGUCUGACUUCAGCUCAGAUCAUGAUCUUGUGGUUUGUGAGUUCGAGUCCCAUGUUGGGCU
rnacentral:tRNA from 1 species